GAUGAACGCUGGCGGUGUGCCUAAUACAUGCAAGUCGAGCGAACAGAUCAGGAGCUUGCUCCUCUGACGUUAGCGGCGGACGGGAGAGUAACACGUGGAUAACCUACCUAUAAGACUGGGAUAACUUCGGGAAACCGGAGCUAAUACCAGAUAAUAUAUUGAACCGCAUGGUCCCAUAGUUAAUGACGGUGUUGCUGUCACUUAUAGAUGGAUCCGCGCCGCAUAAUCUAGGUGGUAAGGUAACGGCUUACCAAGGCAGCGAUGCGGAGCCGACCUGAGAGGGAGAUCUGGCACACCGGAGCUGAGACACGGUCCAGACGCCUACGAGAGGCAGCAGUGGGGAAUCUGCGGCGAUGGGCGAGAGCAUGACGGAGCAACGGCGCGUGAGUGAUGAAGGUAUUCGGAUCGUAAAACGCUGUUAUUAGGGAAGAACAAAUGUGUAAGUAACUAUGCACGUCUUGACGGUACCUAAGCAGAAAGCCACGGCUAACUACGUG
rnacentral:rRNA from 1 species